ACAUCCGUUGUUCGACCUGCUAGUCAAAUGCGUUUUGUUAAAAUAUACUUUUUCACUCUUUUUGGUCUUUUGGAAAAUGUUGUUUGUGCUGUAUUUAGACCACUCUACCAAGAAAUUUGUUUUGCAUGCACACGUAUAAAAAUUGCGGUUUUUAUCCAACGCAAUCAUAGGUUUGAACGUUGUUUUCAAUUUAGACUUGUUUAUAUUUUUUCGUUUGGGCUUGUAUUAUAUUUGCCUUCGGGUUUAUAUGAUCCGUUCAUCCUAUUUUGACUCUUCAAAAUUUAAGAGUCAAUCCCAAAUUGAGGUAAAUUAUAUGGCCUUCCAAAUACCGUUUCGAUUCCUAACAUCACUGAAGAGACAUUAAUUGUCGAAAUCCGGAUAUGGUGAACAAAUUUUUGCACCUCAUGUUUGCGGUAUACCAUCUUUUCCGCAAGUUUAUUGUUUUCUGUUUGGUAUUUAAUUAAUAAAUUAAGAUCCAUUUUUACAUCUGGUGAUCCGUUUUUUGGCAAACUCCAUGGCAGUCAGCAGGGUUUAAGAAUAUCCGUUGUUCGACCUGCUAGUCAAAUGCGUUUUGUUAAAAUAUACUUUUUCACUCUUUUUGGUCUUUUGGAAAAUGUUGUUUGUGCUGUAUUUAGACCACUCUACCAAGAAAUUUGUUUUGCAUGCACACGUAUAAAAAUUGCGGUUUUUAUCCAACGCAAUCAUAGGUUUGAACGUUGUUUUCAAUUUAGACUUGUUUAUAUUUUUUCGUUUGGGCUUGUAUUAUAUUUGCCUUCGGGUUUAUAUGAUCCGUUCAUCCUAUUUUGACUCUUCAAAAUUUAAGAGUCAAUCCCAAAUUGAGGUAAAUUAUAUGGCCUUCCAAAUACCGUUUCGAUUCCUAACAUCACUGAAGAGACAUUAAUUGUCGAAAUCCGGAUAUGGUGUACAAAUUUUUGCACCUCAUGUUUGCGGUAUACCAUCUUUUCCGCAAGUUUAUUGUUUUCUGUUUGGUAUUUAAUUAAUAAAUUAAGAUCCAUUUUUACAUCUGGUGAUCCGUUUUUUUUGCAAUCGCCAUGGCAGUCAGCAGGGUUUAAGAACAUCCGUUGUUCGACCUGCUAGUCAAAUGCGUUUUGUUAAAAUAUACUUUUUCACUCUUUUUGGUCUUUUGGAAAAUGUUGUUUGUGCUGUAUUUAGACCACUCUACCAAGAAAUUUGUUUUGCAUGCACACGUAUAAAAAUUGCGGUUUUUAUCCAACGCAAUCAUAGGUUUGAACGUUGUUUUCAAUUUAGACUUGUUUAUAUUUUUUCGUUUGGGCUUGUAUUAUAUUUGCCUUCGGGUUUAUAUGAUCCGUUCAUCCUAUUUUGACUCUUCAAAAUUUAAGAGUCAAUCCCAAAUUGAGGUAAAUUAUAUGGCCUUCCAAAUACCGUUUCGAUUCCUAACAUCACUGAAGAGACAUUAAUUGUCGAAAUCCGGAUAUGGUGUACAAAUUUUUGCACCUCAUGUUUGCGGUAUACCAUCUUUUCCGCAAGUUUAUUGUUUUCUGUUUGGUAUUUAAUUAAUAAAUUAAGAUCCAUUUUUACAUCUGGUGAUCCGUUUUUUUGGCAAUCGCCAUGGCAGUCAGCAGGGUUUAAGAACAUCCGUUGUUCGACCUGCUAGUCAAAUGCGUUUUGUUAAAAUAUACUUUUUCACUCUUUUUGGUCUUUUGGAAAAUGUUGUUUGUGCUGUAUUUAGACCACUCUACCAAGAAAUUUGUUUUGCAUGCACACGUAUAAAAAUUGCGGUUUUUAUCCAACGCAAUCAUAGGUUUGAACGUUGUUUUCAAUUUAGACUUGUUUAUAUUUUUUCGUUUGGGCUUGUAUUAUAUUUGCCUUCGGGUUUAUAUGAUCCGUUCAUCCUAUUUUGACUCUUCAAAAUUUAAGAGUCAAUCCCAAAUUGAGGUAAAUUAUAUGGCCUUCCAAAUACCGUUUCGAUUCCUAACAUCACUGAAGAGACAUUAAUUGUCGAAAUCCGGAUAUGGUGUACAAAUUUUUGCACCUCAUGUUUGCGGUAUACCAUCUUUUCCGCAAGUUUAUUGUUUUCUGUUUGGUAUUUAAUUAAUAAAUUAAGAUCCAUUUUUACAUCUGGUGAUCCGUUUUUUUGGCAAACUCCAUGGCAGUCAGCAGGGUUUAAGAACAUCCGUUGUUCGACCUGCUAGUCAAAUGCGUUUUGUUAAAAUAUACUUUUUCACUCUUUUUGGUCUUUUGGAAAAUGUUGUUUGUGCUGUAUUUAGACCACUCUACCAAGAAAUUUGUUUUGCAUGCACACGUAUAAAAAUUGCGGUUUUUAUCCAACGCAAUCAUAGGUUUGAACGUUGUUUUCAAUUUAAACUUGUUUAUAUUUUUUCGUUUGGGCUUGUAUUAUAUUUGCCUUCGGGUUUAUAUGAUCCGUUCAUCCUAUUUUGACUCUUCAAAAUUUAAGAGUCAAUCCCAAAUUGAGGUAAAUUAUAUGGCCUUCCAAAUACCGUUUCGAUUCCUAACAUCACUGAAGAGACAUUAAUUGUCGAAAUCCGGAUAUGGUGUACAAAUUUUUGCACCUCAUGUUUGCGGUAUACCAUCUUUUCCGCAAGUUUAUUGUUUUCUGUUUGGUAUUUAAUUAAUAAAUUAAGAUCCAUUUUUACAUCUGGUGAUCCGU